rnacentral:lncRNA from 1 species
UCUAUUCUUCUUUAUUUUUUUGACAUUUGUUUUAUUUCUCUUUGUUUCAAAAAUAUAUUUUUCCUAUAUUUAAACCGAUUUUAUUCAUCCCCACUGUUCGCAUUCUAACUCUUCUAUUUUGGCUUAACAGAGAGAAUGAAGAAGUAAAGGGAUGUUUUGGUAGAAUAUUUCUCCCGACUUUUUUGAUGGUCCCAUAACCCUUCAUGUAAAUCAAUCGAUGGAGCUUUUCUACUUUCGAUCCCCGUGCUGCCUUCCCCACCCC